rnacentral:rRNA from 1 species
GUACAUAACAAUGGAAUAGAAAACAAUGAAAAUGUCUCAUUCAUCUGCUUCCUACUGAACCAAAGUGUGCUACCUCCGAGAAACAAUCACCAAAAUAACAUUUAAAAUUAGUAAAGGAUAAUGCUACAAUUUUCAGAUUGUCGGCACAGAGGUUAGAGCUAUCAUCGUGACAAUCUAUUGCCAGAUAAAUCAACUACUUAAGUGUAAUUAUAUAACUUCUAUUGCAUUACCUCAAAAAAAUAGUAUAGUAAAAAGGCAUGGAUUCAAAAACUUCUCCAAAAUCAUCUACUGGAAAAAUAAAUCAGAAAGACAAUGUCUGUCAUAUACACACACACAGGGGGGUCUAGAAGAAGAAAAAUCGGAUCAUCUGUAGGUGAUAUACCUUUGCAGAAGGACAACCUUAGAGGUACACUAAGUAGACUUCAAAGUGUGUAAACUGAUCUAAUAGGUGAAAGUUUAAUUCAACAAAUAUGGCAAUCACUAACUGCCCUAUAGUCAAGAGAUUGUAUCACUAAGCUGCCCCUUCUAAGCAAUAAUGGUAGCAGUUGCUUGCAGGGUGAGAAAGGUUAACUUUCCGAUAAGCAGACAUGCUUCAUUAUGAUCAAAACCAUAGCCUUGUUAUAUUACCUGACGAUAUUGGGUGACUGAAACUUAAAGUCCACUAAGAAGUAAACGUCACAGGUUGCAGAACAGGACCAGGCUUGAAUUUCCAAACGUUUAUCAAAUGAUCAAAAAGUACACUUUGAGACGCUAUCGU